AGUGAACGCUGGCGGUAGGCCUAACACAUGCAAGUCGAACGGCAGCACAGUAAGAGCUUGCUCUUACGGGUGGCGAGUGGCGGACGGGUGAGGAAUACAUCGGAAUCUACUUUUUCGUGGGGGAUGACGUAGGGAAACUUACGCUAAUACCGCAUACGACCUACGGGUGAAAGCAGGGGAUCUUCGGACCUUGCGCGAUUGAAUGAGCCGAUGUCGGAUUAGCUAGUUGGCGGGGUAAAGGCCCACCAAGGCGACGAUCCGUAGCUGGUCUGAGAGGAUGAUCAGCCACACUGGAACUGAGACACGGUCCAGACUCCUACGGGAGGCAGCAGUGGGGAAUAUUGGACAAUGGGCGCAAGCCUGAUCCAGCCAUACCGCGUGGGUGAAGAAGGCCUUCGGGUUGUAAAGCCCUUUUGUUGGGAAAGAAAAGCAGCAGGUUAAUACCCCGCUGUUCUGACGGUACCCAAAGAAUAAGCACCGGCCAACUUCGUG
rnacentral:rRNA from 1 species